rnacentral:rRNA from 1 species
UAGGGAAUCUUCGGCAAUGGGCGAAAGCCUGACCGAGCAACGCCGCGUGAAUGAUGAAGGCCUUCGGGUUGUAAAAUUCUGUUAUAAGGGAAGAAUGGCUCUAGUAGGAAAUGGCUAGAGUGUGACGGUACCGUAUGAGAAAGCCACGGCUAACUACGUGCCAGCAGCCGCGGUAAUACGUAGGGGGCGAGCGUUAUCCGGAAUUAUUGGGCGUAAAGAGCGCGCAGGUGGUUGAUUAAGUCUGAUGUGAAAGCCCACGGCUUAACCGUGGAAGGUCAUUGGAAACUGGUCAACUUGAGUGCAGAAGAGGGAAGUGGAAUUCCGUGUGUAGCGGUGAAAUGCGUAGAGAUAAGGAGGAACACCAGUGGCGAAGGCGGCUUCCUGGUCUGUAACUGACACUGAGGCGCGAAAGCGUGGGGAGCAAACA